AAGUCGUAACAAGGUUUCCGUAGGUGAACCUGCGGAAGGAUCAUUAAAAAAAAGAGAAACGUCCCGUUUUUUUCAUAAGAAUGGGUUCUAUUCCCUUAAACCGUGUCUACAUACCUUUGUUGCUUUGGCAGGCCGCCUUCGGGCGUCGGCUCCGGCUGAUAGUGCCUGCCAGAGGACCCAAACUCUAUGUUUAGUGAUGUCUGAGUACUAUAUAAUAUUUAAAACUUUCAACAACGGAUCUCUUGGUUCUGGCAUCGAUGAAGAACGCAGCGAAAUGCGAUAAGUAAUGUGAAUUGCAGAAUUCAGUGAAUCAUCGAAUCUUUGAACGCACAUUGCGCCCCUUGGUAUUCCGAGGGGCAUGCCUGUUCGAGCGUCAUUAUAACCACUCAAGCCUGGCUUGGUAUUGGGGUUUUCGCGUGUUCGCGGCCCUUAAAAUCAGUGGCGGUGCCGUCUGGCUCUAAGCGUAGUAAUUUCUCUCGCUAUAGGGUUCCGGUGGUUACUUGCCAAAACCCCCCAUUUUUUCUAGGUUGACCUCGGAUCAGGUAGGGAUACCCGCUGAACUUAAGCAUAUCAAUAAGCGGAGGAAAAGAAACCAACAGGGAUUGCCUCAGUAACGGCGAGUGAAGCGGCAACAGCUCAAAUUUGAAAUCUGGCUCUUUCAGGGUCCGAGUUGUAAUUUGUAGAAGAUGCGUUGGGUGUGGCUCCGGUCUAAGUUCCUUGGAACAGGACGUCAUAGAGGGUGAGAAUCCCGUACGUGACUGGUUGCCUCCGCCCGUGUAAAGCUCUUUCGACGAGUCGAGUUGUUUGGGAAUGCAGCUCAAAAUGGGUGGUAAAUUUCAUCUAAAGCUAAAUAUUGGCCAGAGACCGAUAGCGCACAAGUAGAGUGAUCGAAAGAUGAAAAGCACUUUGGAAAGAGAGUUAAACAGUACGUGAAAUUGUUGAAAGGGAAGCGCUUGCAACCAGACUUGCAUGCGGUUGAUCAUCCGAGCUUCUGCCCGGUGCACUCGAUCGUAUUCAGGCCAGCAUCGGUUUUGGUGGGCGGAUAAAGGCCUUGGGAAUGUAGCUUNCUUCGGGGAGUGUUAUAGCCCUCGGUGCAAUGCGCCCUACCGGGACCGAGGACCGCGCUUCGGCUAGGAUGCUGGCGUAAUGGUUGUAAGCGACC
rnacentral:rRNA from 1 species